CCCCAGAGCAGGUAUGACAUGUUCCUAACACAAAGCUGGGGGAGGAAGUGGUUUGAAUCCCACAUCUUGAUUUACCAAGCGGGGUAGUCACUCUUCGAAGUUUCUUCCUCAGCUUGGGGCCAGCCCAGACUGCAUGUGGUUUCCUCUCACUGUGUGUGCCUGCAUGUGUGUGUGUGUGUGUGUGUGUGUGUGUGUGUGUGUGUGUGUACAAAUGUGCAUGUGUGUUAGUUAUUUGCCUUUUACUGGCUCCGGGGUUUCUGUCCACCAGAGGAGCCCAGGGCUCUCUCUCAGACCUGCCCAACCUGCCGAGACAUUCUGGGACCCAGCUGGAUGCCAGUGGACACCCCCGAAUAACACUGGUGAUCAGAAGCCAGACUCUUGGAGAAGAGAUGGAAGCCCCGCUGGCAGGUGUGCUGGGAGCCAGGUGAUUCCCCACAGGGCUCUCUUAUCAGAGAGGCCAUCCUGGGCAGCAGCCCUGAAGAAGGACCCACCCUCUGGGGGCUCACACACAUCUGCUCCCAACCCGUGGUCUCCUCACAGAAGUUUCAUCACCUCGGGACGCCUCAGGACACCUCAGGAACCAGAAUCCCUGCUCUGCAACUGGGCAGGGUGCUCCCAGCUCAGGGAGGACUCUGGUAGGACUUGGCACCAGAGCCCAGCUGUAGGUAGUCCUUGUUGUGAGAUGGCCAUCAGCAACAAUAGAAGGUUGAAGUGGAGGCACAAACCCAUCCGAGGUCACAGGCAGUGCUGUGGACCUGACCUGGAUGGGUCUGAGGACUGCCCUGGAGAGCAAAUGUGGGAUGGAGAAGUGAACGGAUGGGAUUAGCCCAGGGAGGGCUCAGGCCUGGGCAAUUUGCCUCUGAUCUGCCAGUCUCCACCUGGGUUUAGAAGGUGGCAUGGUGAUCUGUUUGGAUGGAUUUAGACUUUAUCUCAAGUUCCCUCCAUUUUGAAGCAUCUUCUCUCUCCCUGCAAGAAAAUAGCCAACUGAGGAUGUACCUGGGCCUGAGCUCCAGACUGCAGCACCAGAGUGGGCUCCAGGGCCCCUUUCCUGCACUCACCCCUCGUCCAUCAGCCCCUGCUCACACAGACACCCAUUCCUGGGUUAUCCCCUGCCCAAGCCACUGCAUCCAGCUGCUAGGGAUUCAGAGAUGAGAUGACACUCUUCUCUGAAGAUCUGCACGGCCAUGUGGCAGUACAGCAGCCCUGGCAUGGGAGGCCUAGGCAGGGAUGGGACUGCAGCGGCCCACGUUAGAACCACUUUCCAGGUGCAGGCUGGAGGACCAUGUCAGGCACCUGGAUGAGCCAGUCACAUGUAGGGCUGAGAGGAUGGGCUGGCUGGGAGAGGUGGCCCCGUUGGCAGGAUCUGGUCCCAGACCUGGAUUGCCCUAUGGAUAAAAGCCAUCUCCAGAGUCUACAGAGGCAGAGAGCAGUCAGUGAGCUGCCCAGGGCUUUCACCAGCCUUAUUUUAGAAAAUCCUCAGAACACCUAGCAAUGGAGGGGCUGCUCACAAUCCCCUGCUUUACUGGUGUGUGACCUGCCCAGAGUCCCAUGGCCCAAAGGUAUGGGGGGCUGGGAGUCACAAACACGGUGCUGCUGGUUCCAAAACCAAGGUCUUCCCAGGGUCCUAGAACUAUAAAUAAAGGGUCUAACCUGUGUGUGCCA
ensembl:lncRNA